rnacentral:rRNA from 1 species
UACGUAGGUCCCGAGCGUUGUCCGGAUUUAUUGGGCGUAAAGCGAGCGCAGGUGGUUUAUUAAGUCUGGUGUAAAAGGCAGUGGCUCAACCAUUGUAUGCAUUGGAAACUGGUAGACUUGAGUGCAGGAGAGGAGAGUGGUAUUCCAUGUGUAGCGGUGAAAUGCGUAGAUAUAUGGAGGAACACCGGUGGCGAAAGCGGCUCUCUGGCCUGUAACUGACACUGAGGCUCGAAAGCGUGGGGAGCGAACAGG